GUUUUACCGUAUGACGUUCAUUCUAGAGUCAAGUUGUUUGGGAUUGCAGCUUAAAUGGGAGGUAAAUUUCUCCUAAGGCUAAAUAACGGCGAGAGACCGAUAGCGAACAAGUACCGUGAGGGAAAGAUGAAAAGAACUUUGAAAAGAGAGUUAAACAGUACGUGAAAUUGUUGAAAGGGAAACGAUUGAAGCCAGUCGUACCUUCGGGUAAUCAGCCUUUUGGGUGCGAUUAUGUGGAGCGUGAGGAGCUAAACCCCCUCCUGGCUUCGCAUUCUCGCACUUUGGGUGUACUUGGCCCGGGGGGUGGGUAACAUCCAUUUUGGGGGGCAUAAAAUGGCUGGAGGAAUGGUGUACUUCAAU
rnacentral:rRNA from 1 species